UAUUGCACAAUGGGUGAAACCCUGACGCAGCGACGCCGCGUGAGUGAAGAAGUAUCUCGGCAUGUAAAGCUCUAUCAGCAGGGAAGAUAAUGACGGUACCUGACUAAGAAGCCCCGGCUAACUACGUCCCAACAGCCGCGGUAAUACGUAGGGGGCAAGCGUUAUCCGGAUUUACUGGGUGUAAAGGGAGCGUAGGUGGCAGGGCAAGUCAGAUGUGAAAACCCGGGGCUCAACCCCGGGAGUGCAGUUGAAACUGUCCAGCUGGAGUGCAGGAGAGGUAAGCGGAAUUCCUAGUGUAGCGGUGAAAUGCAUAGAUAUUAGGAGGAACACCAGUGGCGAAGGCGGCUUACUGGACUGUAACUGACACUGAGGCUCGAAAGCGUGGGGAGCAAACAGG
rnacentral:rRNA from 1 species